rnacentral:lncRNA from 1 species
GGUGCCCUUGGGCGGCGGAGUGAGGGCCCAGACGGCGACCACCUCGCCCUCGGCCACCGUCUCCUCGCCGGAGGCGAAGAAGACGCUGAGAAAGGGCACCGUCAUCAUCACCGGCGCCUCCUCCGGGCUCGGCCUCGCCACCGCCAAGGCCCUCGCAGAGACCGGCAAAUGGCACGUCAUCAUGGCCUGCCGAGACUUCCUCAAGGCCGAGAGAGCCGCCAAAUCCGUCGGCAUGAACAAGGAGAACUACUCCGUCAUCCACCUCGACCUCGCCUCCCUCGACAGCGUCCGCCAGUUCGCCGACAACUUCCGCCGCUCCGGCCGCCCCCUCGACGCCCUCGUCUGCAACGCCGCCGUCUACCUCCCCACCGCCAAGGAGCCAACUUUCACCGCCGACGGCUUCGAGCUCAGCGUGGGCACCAACCACCUCGGCCAUUUCCUCCUCGCCCGCCUCCUCCUCGACGACCUCAAGAAGUCCGAUUACCCCAGCCGCCGCCUCAUCAUCGUCGGCUCCAUCACCGGUAAGCUCUCUCCCUUCCCUCCCUCCCUUGUCCACCGGCGGCGCCGCUGAUAUUUUCCGGCGAUCUCCAGGCAACACGAACACUUUGGCCGGGAA